UACGGAGGGUGCGAGCGUUGUUCGGAAUCACUGGGCGUAAAGCGCGUGUAGGCGGCCCACUAAGUCUGAUGUGAAAGCCCGGGGCUCACCCCCGGAAGUGCAUUGGAAACUGGUGGACUCGAGUCCCGGAGAGGAGAGUGGAAUUCCUGGUGUAGCGGGGAAAUGCGUAGAUAUCAGGAGGAACACCGGUGGCGAAGGCGGCGCUCUGGACGGGGACUGACGCUGAGACGCGAAAGCGUGGGGAGCAAACAGG
rnacentral:rRNA from 1 species